GCCAUCGCCGCGUGCGGCGUAGAAUUUCUCCGCCUUUAUUCCCCCUCCUCCCCCGCUCCUUCCCUCCCCUCCACCACCUAUCCGCCGCCUCCCCCCACCCUCCACAAACCCACGCAGCUCCAGCGGCGCAGGCGCAUCCCAGCUCACCGGCGGAGAUGGGCGGCCCAGGCCUCUACUCCGGGAUCGGCAAGAAGGCCAAGGAUCUGCUGUACAGGGACUACCAGACCGACCACAAAUUCACCCUUACCACCUACACCGCCAAUGGCGCCGCAAUUACUGCUACCAGUACAAAGAAGGCUGAUCUUAUACUCGGUGAGAUCCAAUCACAGAUCAAGAACAAAAACAUCACUGUAGAUGUGAAGGCCAACUCAGCAUCGAAUGUCAUUACUACAAUUACUGCUGACGAUCUUGCAGCACCAGGGCUGAAGACCAUCUUGAGCUUUGCUGUUCCUGAUCAGAAAUCUGGAAAGGUUGAGCUCCAGUACUUGCAUGAUUAUGCUGGUAUUAAUGCAAGCAUUGGCUUGACUGCCAAUCCUGUAGUCAACCUCUCCGGCGCGUUCGGAACUAGUGCUCUAGCUGUUGGUGCUGACGUGUCGCUUGAUACAGCCACCAAGAAUUUCACCAAAUACAAUGCUGCACUUAGCUACACUAACCAGGAUCUUAUUGCAUCCCUGAACCUGAACAACAAGGGAGACAGCCUGACCGCAUCCUAUUACCACAUUGUGGAGAAAUCCGGCACAGCUGUCGGGGCAGAGCUGACCCACAGCUUCUCGAGCAACGAGAACAGCCUCACCUUCGGCACCCAGCAUACCCUGGACCCGCUCACCCUUGUGAAGGCCCGCAUCAACAACUCUGGCAAGGCCAGCGCGCUGAUCCAGCACGAGUUCAGGCCAAAGUCGCUGUGCACCAUCUCGGCGGAGGUGGACACCAAGGCCAUCGAGAAGAGCUCGAAGGUCGGAAUCGCGAUUGCUCUCAAGCCUUAAUGGCGAAGUCAAGCCCCUCUUCUCUAAGCUCUCAGGGGUGUUCCUCGGUUUCGGAUGAAAUCGGGGCGGGUUGACAAUACUUCACACGCCUUGGGCGCGUUGUUGCAGUCUGUUAGAUUUGAAGAACUGCCGUGUUUCAUUCCUGAGGAAUUUUGUCUUUGCUCGGUGUAGUGCCUGUCCGUUGAGCCACACUUCUCAGUAAUAAUUCAAGCUCUGAAAAUUCUGAACUUGAUUCAGCAUUCAUUCAUCUCUUCCAUUUCCCACCCCAAAUUUUGAACUUCCUGUGGUAGUCUACUUUGCUAGGCAGAAGAUAUUAAUGCCUGAAUUGAGUCCUUGUUUGGGCCAUAAUAUACACAUCUUGAACUGCGAUGAACGGCCGACUGGUUGGCCACGUCGGAAAGUGUCGUGCAAACGUGAGGCUGAUCGGCUGGCCACGUGGGCGGAAGAGGAGAUUUACGUUUGUGCCACUUAUCCCCAUGAGAAUCGUCUCUUAUCUCCUCUGGUUUCCCUCGCGACGAAACAUGCAUCGGCGUCUACGUGCGUGGGGUACUAGAUAGUGUCUCGCUCGAGAUCAUAUCUUCGCGGCCGCAGCGUCAGCAAUGUCACCGUCUUCGUCGCUCUACUCCGGCCGCCUCCUUUUCUCCCGUCCGGCGUCCAAGGGGCUCGUACGUCGUCUCCUCGCUCGCGAUGGGAGCAGGUGGGUCAGGCCGUCGUGCUCCCUGUCUAUGAACGGUUGCGCAGCCGGCGCCAGCGACUUCGGCGCGGUGACCAUGUGCGAGACGAGGGCCCUGCCGGCCGCGUCGGCGCCGCAGGAGGCCGUGGGGCAGCUCAGGGCCGCCGUCGCCGCGCUCAACGCCGACCCGCCGGCGUCCUCCUCCGGCAUCAUCCGCAUCGAGGUGCCGAUUCGGCAGCGAGGGGACGCCAUCGAGUGGCUGCAAGCGCAGAGGCAGAGCUCCCUGCCCCGCUGCUUCUUCUCCGCCCGGGCACCGCUGCCGGAUACGCCGGCGCUCGCCGUGGGCAGCAGCAGCAACGGCAACGGUAGCCACAAGGAGCAGUGGGAGCAGCCGGUGAGCGUCGCCGGCGUGGGGUCGGCGGUCUUCUUCCGCGGCACGGACCCCUUCUCUCUCCACGACUGGCGAGCCAUCAAGAGAUUUCUUUCAAGGGAUUGCCCGAUGAUCCGCGCCUACGGCGCCAUCCGCUUCGACGCGUCGAGCGACGCCUCGGUCGAAUGGGAAGACUAUGGCGCAUUCUACUUCGUUGUUCCACAAGUUGAGUUCAGUGAGCUCGAGGAGGGCUCGGUUCUAGCGACGACGAUUGCGUGGGAUGACUCGCUUUCUUGGACAUAUCAGAGCGCAGUGGACGAGCUCCAAUCAACAUUGCACGAGAUAUCACCGUGUUCAGUUAAGGUGAACAGGUCCACGCUACAAACCGCCAUCGUAAAUCUCAAUCAUGUCCCCACCAAGGCGUCUUGGGAUCUUGCUGUUACUCAAGCUCUUCGGAUGAUCAAAGGGAGCCAAACGGAAUUAGUCAAGGUUGUGCUAGCAAGGUGCAGCAGGUACAUCACUGAUACUUGCAUCGACCCUCUGGAGCUGUUAGCUUGUCUGAAGGUUGAGGGCCAGAAUGCCUACCAGUUCUGCAUACAGCCACCUGAUGCUCCUGCAUUUGUUGGAAAUAGUAGCAACUAUUUCACCGGAAAUACUUGAACAUUUCCAGCGAGGCUUUAGCCGGUACGCGAGCAAGAGGGAAAACAAGGGCUGAUGAUUUUCAAAUUGGCCAGGAAUUGCUUCUAAGCAUCAAAGAGGACACUGAAUUUACUAUUGUACGGGACAGCAUAAAGAAGAAGCUUGAGGCAAGUUAAGUUUCACAGUCCAAUUUCAGAUAUGAUCCUGGACUAGUUUGCUUUGCUCUUGGCACUCAGCAGUAAUGCUUUUCAGAAAACAAAAUAUGGUGACUGUAAUUUUUGCUGAACCAGUGGAUCUAAUCUGAGUGCAGAUGAUCUGUGAUGAGGUUGUUGUCAAUCCCAGCAAGGCCCUUCGGAAACUUCCAAGAGUACAACAUUUGUCAGCUCAAUUAGCUGCAAGAUUAAGAAAUGAGGACGACGAGUUUGACAUCCUAAAUGCUCUUCAUCCAAGCCCAGCUGUUUGUGGUUUGCCCACUGAAGAAGCGCGCCAAUUCAUACGAGAUUAUGAAAUCUUCGACCGUGGAAUGUAUGCUGGACCUGUUGGUUGGUUUGGUGGAGCUGAAAGUGAGUUUGCUGUUGGGAUUAGAUCAGCACUACUUGGAAAAGGAUAUAGCACUUUAGUUUAUGCCGGUGCCGGGAUUGUCGAAGGUACAAAUCCAUCUUUUGAAUGGGAUGAGCUUGAUCUCAAAGCAUCUCAGUUUGCAAAGUUGUUGCAGUAUCAAGAACAUCAUAUUUGCUACCAAGAGGCAGGAAACAUGGGGACAUUGAUUUGAACUGUAACUAGGAAGUUUUGAUUUGUUGGGAAGAUUCCAAAUGGAGUUCAUAUCUGUUUAUGUGCGUGCGUUGUAAACUUCAAAAGAUUUCAGCCUGAUUUGCAUGGCUCUUGAAGAUGCAAUCACAGAAAUAUCGAAAUAUCGAUUCGAGGAGAUGACAGUGAUGAUAGUCGUGGAGCGUACAAAAGAUUAAAUAAAAGCAUAUUAAAUAAUUAUGUACAAUGAUUGUAACAAGUCAGUUUAGUGCAAAGUGUAUAUUACCAUUCUUUUGACUUCUUCUCUGGCCUUGUCCAAUUGCUUAUAUGAUCUGGAUGCUUCUUGUUGCAAGCAUAAUGUACCUGAUGCAUUAUUUUCAUCUGAUGGGCAAUGACAUAGAUCAUUCAU
rnacentral:rRNA from 1 species